UACAGCAAUGGAUAUGGAAAGUUGUAUGUGCUUUCUUUCCAAAUCAUACAUAUGUWAUUCGGUAAAACUCAGAUUCAACGGUUGCAAGACAUUUCUUUCUGCAUGGCCUUUGAUAUUUUGUAAGUAGUUGGAGUCAAGAUAGCGGUGUUCUGGAGCAUCAAUCUGCUUAAGUAAAGGCGGAAGGCCGAAAUUUCUUGAAUUCUUCAUCGGACACUUAUAAAGAAUGGUACAGUAAUCUUUUACUUAUCUGYGUGCCGAGCUGAUUACGUGAAUGAGUGGCAGCCGUGCAAUUGAGCUGAGAUGAGAUUCCAUGAUGUGCUAUCAUCUGUCAAGAAUACAGUCUUUAAAAUGAGCCAUGUCAUGUUAUUAAUAUAUGCACACAGGUAGCUCAAGUUUCAAGACAAACCACAGACUGAGCUUCAUGAUCUCUUACAAGAUUAAUUUUAUAAUAUGACAAUGCAAUGGCUAACAGCAGGACAUUUGUAUUGCCUUCUCCAUAAUGACUUGAUAAAAUGUCAAAUGUUCAUAUUACACAAUUUAAACAACAUUCUGAUCCUAGACUUCACUUGGGUCAGUCAUGCUAUUAUUGUCACAAACCAAAUUGURSAUGUGUCGAAAUACAGUGUUAGAUUGAUUGGGUUUUUGUUGUGUAGCACGACUGGAGUUUCUGUGCCAAAGUUGUACCAAACUUAACUYAUUCAUACACCYAGCUGUUCAUGUGCACUACAUCACACUAUAUGUAUUUGGUUUGGUGCAAUGACAGCAUAACAUGAACUGUCUGAAAUGCCACUUGGGGAUCAGAAAUUUUUCUUUGAAAUCUCUUGAUGUAUAAUAAGUGGCUAUUUAAAAAKAAGUUGUCUGAGUGUAAUUGCAGUGAUUGCAGUACCAAAAGUUGAUAAGGGUAUUCAAUUUUGAUGAAAAAUACUCAUCUACAGUACCUGCUGAAAAACAAGCCAAACAAAUUACCAUUCUUGAAAAUCUGAGUAUUGAGGGCUCUCAUGAGUGAAUAUUGACAUAUUUGGUAAUCCAUACCAACUGGACCUUCAGUUGUGCAUAUUGCUCUUCACUGAGACAACCUUUUUUAAAUGUAAACAUGUAUCUAAAGACAUUUUUUAUAACUCAACAUUGACUGGUUGGUAAAAAUGGACUCACUUUCCUCUUACUCCAUUCCCAGUUUUGUGUAAUGCAGUGUGUCACCCACUUGAUGACACAAUAAUUUUUGUUUCAAUUUUCCAAGAACUUAUUGCAAUGAAAACAAAGUUCAAAGAAAUCAAGCUAGAAAGUAAGACAAUAUUUCUAUGAUCAAUUCGGUUUGAUUAAAAGAUAAUUGUGAUAUUAAUAUUUUUUGGAAAACUACUCAUGUGCUCUUGUAGCACCAGUAUACAGUAGCUUGCAGCACAGCUACAUGUAUCCUAGGCUUGUGAACUCUUCAAUUGCUACUAAAUGUAAACAGACAAUGUAAGAAGCAUUUUCUGACAGUGAUAUAUGCUGUAUGAACUUUGAAAAUACUGCUUUUUUAUGAGCUGUAACAAUGCCAUCACUAGUUUUAAAAUGCAAAGCAGUCUGCCACAAAACAUUAAGAAAUAGCUGUCAUUGCAAAAUGUUACAAUGCAAUUGCAAGCUAGGCUUAUGAAAACUAAUUUAAAAUAUCUGAGAUUGUCAAUUUAUCACAUUUUGACAAUUAUCAGCAUUGCAUGAUUGCCAACUACUACAAAUGUGUUUAGUUAUCUAGUUGAUAAAAUCUCUAUUUUGUUGUGAUGAGGAAAGUGUUUCCAUUUUUACUAUGAUCGUCAAAACUUAAUCUUCAUUACUGUUGUCCUGCAUUUCAACUGCUUUCUUUAAUACAUCUGAGAAGCCCCUC